AGGGUGAGAGGGUUAUUUAGAAACUGUUUAGUUCAACAUUUAUUGAUGAGGAACCCAAGACCCAGGGAGAUUAAUUGACUGUAUGCAGUCAUGGGCAAAGAGCUAUUAUGAAUCCUUCCAUGAUGUCGUCUGAAAUUAACUUUUUCUUAUAAAUCUGAAUUUUCAUGAAAAUUCUGAAGCUUGAUGACAAGUAAGAAAAUGUAUCAAAAUAUAAUUUUUAUAUAUUAAUAUUAACUUAAAUACAUAAAGAACAUGAAAAUACUAUUUAUUUGAGUGCUUGGUAAGCUAACAUAUUUUCUUAUUUUUCUACUUCACUUCCCAACGACACUCCAAAAAGCAACAAUAAUUAUUCCAAAAUAGCACUUUUUUCCCCUUAUUUAACAUUUUACAGUCUGAUGUUAGGGGAAUACAGUCAACAUAUAUUCUCACAAAAUACUUUGCGUAACAUGCAGUUAACCUUAAAAGGUUGUGUAUGUAUACUAAAUCAGUAUACUGGUCUGUGGUCUAAUAGUCCCCCGUAUUGAUAUAUGCCUAAUUCCAGAACAGUCUGAACACCUCUUCAGGAUCGUUGAAGGCCUGAAGGCCUCUUCAGGUCUGAUUGAUGAGAUUAAGCAUGUCAAAUACACGAACAGCUUGCAGCAAAGGUGACCUCCAGAUGCAGCAAGGACACUGGGUCACCAAGCCUCAGAAGCAAAGACUGAAAAAAGACCUCUCCCUGCUCUGCCUCUCAAGGAAAGGCAGCUCUUGAAUGGGAGAAAAACAAUUAGAAAAUGCAGUAUCUUAAUCCAAGGAAAGCCAAAUAGAGGAAACAGAUGUCUCUUACCGAAUUCUGUAUUUUCUGUUCUUCCAGGUGAAAAAGAAAGCCUUGUGGGGACUUGCAAGCCUUUUGUGUCCUAAGUUAUUGUCUUCCAAACUGCAGAGGUUGAAUCCGGCUUCAGGUUGACCCUUCAGAGUGAAGAGAGAUGCUGUUCCUUUCUUCGUUACCUGCCUAGCACUUCUUCUCUCCCCACUUCCUAUGCAGGGGCCCCAGCCGGGAGCAGGACGAUAGGGGACUUGAUUUUUUUAAGUAAUCUCUAUACCUAAUCUGGGGCUCAGACCUACAACUCCAAGAUCAAGAGUCACCUGCCCCAUCAACUGAACCAGCCAGGUGCCCCUGUUUUUGUCAUUAUUCUUAUUGUCAUAAUUCUGAUGACUAUCUUGUUACAUUUAUAAUACUAAGAAGUUCGUGGGCCAAAUAUAGAAUGAUAACCAUAUUUUAUAAAGUUGCAGAAAGAACCCAGGACAAUGAUUUCAGUGUCUUUUUAUUUGAAUUAUGUCAGCAUAGAAAAAGACCACAAUAGAGUCUUCCUUGUUAUUGUGCACAUUAACAAAGAAUUCUUGCCAGAACAAGACAUAUUGUGUUUGAUGACAUUCAAAUUUUCAUCAGCAAAAACAAAAACAAAAACAAAAACAAUCAUGACCGUUUUAUAAAUGCAUACUCUAAGAAACAAUCACUAGAAACUUACGAGAACCUAUAUCCAUCACCAAUAAUCCCCACUCCUUUCUUUGAAAUCCUCUGACCUCAAAAACAGCAUCCUAAAUUAGCAUCAUGCAUAACCAACCACUAGUUUUCUAUGUGGGAAACUACCCAAGUGGCUGAGAUUGUACACUGUGGAGGUGUCGAGAUCUGGGCUCAAAUCCUAUCUCCUCCACUUACCUGUCUGUGGGGCAGGUUACUUAACCUGCGCUAGCCUCAGGUGUCUUAAUAGUAAAAAUGGGGCUAAAGGAGUAACUAAAGCUCAUAAAGUUGCUGCAGGGAUUAAAUAAGAUAAUGCACAUUAAGAGAUGAGAGAUUAACGUGUGUGUGAGUGUGUGUGUAUGUGUGUGUAGAAUGAGCACUGAAAAAAUAUUGAUUAUGUUGAUAAACACUAUCUUUUUAUCUGUAUUAGAAGUUUUUGUACUUUUUUGGAGAAACCUUUGUAUCUCACUUAAUUAUUUAUUUCAUGACAUUGUAGGGCUCCUAAUCAAUGCCAGUGUUUCAGUCUCUCUGAUCCCUGGCCCUUGGAAUCUGAAGCAGAAAUAAAAGUACAUAUUAAGUACCCUGAGCAAGUUUGAUAUUUACAGUGUACCGAGUCCUUUGUAAGGUGGACACUCAUUUAUUUCCAUUCUGAAACUUCAAGUCGUUAGAUAUUGAAUUUUAUUAGAGUAGUUUUCAUAGGGCAGGGUUAACAGUUUGCAAAACUGAUAAAAGAGACAUUUUUAUCUUAUUGUUGUUUUAAUUUGCAUUUCUCUCAUCACUGGUAUGGUUGAGCAUCACUUGAAAUGUUUGAAUGAUCUGUUUCCAUGCUUUGCCCACUCUUUUAUUGGAUAGUUUGUCCUUUUAAUUAUUACUGUCUACAAAGAUUCUUUAUUUUUAUUGUUUGCUAGAAUUCUUUAUAUUUGUUGUCUAUAAGAAUUUUCUUUGUUUAUACUAUCCUUAUAUAAUCAUAUAUAUAUAGAGAGAGAGCCUACUUGAGAUUCUGUCUCCCCCUCUCUGCCCCUCCCCCGCUUGCUCUCUCUCUCUUUCUCAAAAUAAAUUAAAAACAAAAAAAUUCAAAAAAGAAACAUCUUGGUAACUAUCCUUUUUAGUCAUUUGUCUGUGUGUGUGUGUGUAUAUAUAUAUAUAAUUUAUUUAAAAUGUAUAUUACAUGUUAUUUUAUAAUCUGACUUUCCCCCCAUCUCUAUAUUUUGCACAUAUUUCUAUGUCACUAAAUACUUUCCUACAAUAUAAUUUUAGUUUCUAGGUAGAAUUCUAUUAUAUGUCUAUAUUAUAAUCUAUUUAAUAAUCUCUUAUUAUCAGAAAACUUUUUGCAAU